rnacentral:rRNA from 1 species
UACGUAGGGUGCGAGCGUUGUCCGGAAUUAUUGGGCGUAAAGGGCUCGUAGGCGGUUUGUCGCGUCGGGAGUGAAAACACUGGGCUUAACUCAGUGCUUGCUUCCGAUACGGGCAGACUAGAGGUAUUCAGGGGAGAACGGAAUUCCUGGUGUAGCGGUGAAAUGACGCAGAUAUCAGGAGGAACACCGGUGGCGAAGGCGGGUCUCUGGGCCGAUACUGACGCUGAGGAGCGAAAGCGUGGGGAGCGAACAGG